GGUGUGACUGCGUACCUUUUGUAUAAUGGGUCAGCGACUUAUAUUCUGUAGCAAGGUUAACCGUAUAGGGGAGCCGCAGGGAAACCGAGUCUUAACUGGGCGUUAAGUUGCAGGGUAUAGACCCGAAACCCGGUGAUCUAGCCAUGGGCAGGUUGAAGGUUGGGUAACACUAACUGGAGGACCGAACCGACUAAUGUUGAAAAAUUAGCGGAUGACUUGUGGCUGGGGGUGAAAGGCCAAUCAAACCGGGAGAUAGCUGGUUCUCCCCGAAAGCUAUUUAGGUAGCGCCUCGUGAAUUCAUCUUCGGGGGUAGAGCACUGUUUCGGCUAGGGGGUCAUCCCGACUUACCAACCCGAUGCAAACUACGAAUACCGAAGAAUGUUAUCACGGGAGACACACGGCGGGUGCUAACGUCCGUCGUGAAGAGGGAAACAACCCAGACCGCCAGCUAAGGUCCCAAAGUCACAGUUAAGUGGGAAACGAUGUGGGAAGGCACAGACAGCCAGGAUGUUGGCUUAGAAGCAGCCAUCAUUUAAAGAAAGCGUAAUAGCUCACUGGUCGAGUCGGCCUGCGCGGAAGAUGUAACGGGGCUAAACUGUGCACCGAAGCUGCGGCAGCGACACUAGGUGUUGUUGGGUAGGGGAGCGUUCUGUAAGCCUGCGAAGGUGGCCUGUGAGGGUUGCUGGAGGUAUCAGAAGUGCGAAUGCUGACAUAAGUAACGAUAAUGCGGGUGAAAAGCCCGCACGCCGGAAG
rnacentral:rRNA from 1 species